AGCGAACGCUGGCGACAGGCUUAACACAUGCAAGUCGAACGGGCGUAGCAAUACGUCAGUGGCAGACGGGUGAGUAACACGUGGGAACAUACCUCUUGGUUCGGAACAACACAGGGAAACUUGUGCUAAUACCGGAUAAGCCCUUACGGGGAAAGAUUUAUCGCCGAGAGAUUGGCCCGCGUCUGAUUAGCUAGUUGGUA
rnacentral:rRNA from 1 species